AACGAACGCUGGCGGCAUGCCUAACACAUGCAAGUCGAACGAGACCUUCGGGUCUAGUGGCGCACGGGUGCGUAACGCGUGGGAAUCUGCCCUUGGGUUCGGAAUAACAGUGAGAAAUUACUGCUAAUACCGGAUGAUGUCUUCGGACCAAAGAUUUAUCGCCCAGAGAUGAGCCCGCGUAGGAUUAGCUAGUUGGUGGGGUAAUGGCCUACCAAGGCGACGAUCCUUAGCUGGUCUGAGAGGAUGAUCAGCCACACUGGGACUGAGACACGGCCCAGACUCCUACGGGAGGCAGCAGUGGGGAAUAUUGGACAAUGGGCGCAAGCCUGAUCCAGCAAUGCCGCGUGAGUGAUGAAGGCCUUAGGGUUGUAAAGCUCUUUUACCCGGGAUGAUAAUGACAGUACCGGGAGAAUAAGCUCCGGCUAACUCCGUG
rnacentral:rRNA from 1 species